GGAUGUGAGGGCAAUCCGGCUGUGACAUCUGUCACCCCAUUGAUCACCAGGGUUAAUUCUGCUGAUCUGGCUGGCUAGGAGGUGUGCCCUUCCUCCCUCACUGCUCAAUGUGCUUCCCUCCCAAAGCUGGGAGCUCAGAGGCCGGCCUUCCCUGAAUAGAGAUGGACAUAGAGACAGAGGGGUCUUCUAUCCAGAGUAUAGGAGUAGCUGCGUUCCCCUGCCAGAACCUCCAAACAGGCUCUCAAGACUGGCCGUUUAAAAUGAUUCCCUUAUUCAUGAACUAUCAUUUGUGAGAUAAGGGGUAUCAUGAAUU
rnacentral:snRNA from 1 species